AGGGCCCGAUAGACAUAAACAUGAGUGAGAUCAGAAUGGACGAUAUUCAUGAGCUCUUCUCCAGAGACCCGGCCAUCAGGCUUGGAGGACACUGGAAGCCUGCAGACUGCAUGCCUCGGUGGAAGGUGGCCAUCCUCAUCCCUUUCCGGAACCGCCACGACUCCUUCCUGUGUCUGCCUCCCUGCAGCCUCUGUCCCUGAAGCAGGGAUCUGUGUGUGGCGAGGAGCGUUCUCCUCUGGCCUCUGCUCUUCGCCUUUUUGCCUUCAGCACCCUUGAUGUUCAUGGUUUACAUGGGUGGGGGUGGGGUGUAGAUACACGGGGAUGGGGUUUACAUCACACAGUUGGUUCUGAGGACAGAUGAUCCCCACAGACUGUGGGAGUGAUUGGCCAGGCCUUUUUUUUUGUUCUUUUUGUAGAGUAGAGUGGUAUCUAGGGAACAGAUGGCGCUGCAGAGCGCUUCCCGCUCGUAUGAGAGAGCAGGUGCCUGCCCUUGAGAGCGCUGGUGAACCACGUCAUCUGUUUGCACUGGGCAAGGAGCUGCACGAGGCGCUGCGUUGACUUGCCUUUGUCUUACGGUACACACAGCAAUAAAGAUUGGGUUCCGCCUGCCCGGCUCAACCCUCUGCCCCCUGUGUUAGUUUUACAGUGCGGGGAAGGAAACCCAUGGCUGAUGUGCUAGGCAAGAGCUCUGCCACUGAGUCACGGGUCCAGCCCCCUCUCCCCUCAUCCUUCUGUUUCCACUCUGAAGGUCAGGGAUGCUGUCGCUGUGGUAGAGCCUUGGUGUCCUUGGAGGGACAGUGGUGUGUGUAGCAUGUGUCCUGGCUGAAGCCCUGCAUCCUCACAAUAGCCACAGGGCACCUUUUUAAGCCAAAGGCUGAUACUUGAUUUAAGAAGGAAAAUGCAGAUUUGGGGACAAAGAAAGGUCUUUUUACUGCUCAAGUCGGGUCACUUAUGUUCCCUUGCAAUCAUGUCCAAGUUUGUUAUUAGUGUGGACUCUUGUGGGCACUGUCAGUCAUUGUCCGCCCAGUCACAUACCGAGUGGGAAAUGUCACAGUCAGAGCCACACCACUGGACCACACAUUAGGUCAUUGCUUAAAGAAAAUGACAUUGAGAAUCAAGUGUGACCUUGGUGUACUUUGGCAGCUGAAAUUACUCCAUGCUACAGACGAGUGACCCUUAAGCCGACCUGCCCUUGACUGACUGCCCUGUGUGUGCAAGGUCUCUCUCCGCACAGGCUUUCUUUGGGGAGGGGGGAUUUGCAAAACUUUAAUUUUGCUAAAAUGGGGACUCCUGUCAUCGAGUUCCUUCCUCAGAGCGGCAGAGCACACACUGACUGUGCCUACCAUCGACGAGGCACUGACGCCACUGGCUUAGCCACCAUUACUGUCUUUGUUCUGAGCUUGCUCUUUGUUUUAAAGGUGCCAGGGGGACAUUUUUGCACUGAAGCCUAAAGAUGUUUUAAAAACACUUUUCACAGAAAUAGUCCUUGUCAUUACAUUGUUCACUCAUGUGUUUGUACAUUUUUGUAUGUUAAUUUAUGAAUGAUUUUUUCAGUAAAAAAUACAUAUUCAAUAACC
rnacentral:lncRNA from 1 species